GCCUCGGUAGCUCAAUGGCAGAGCAGUUGACUCUUAAUCAAUUGGUUUCAGGUUCAAGUCCUGACCGGGGCACCA
rnacentral:tRNA from 1 species